rnacentral:rRNA from 1 species
GACGAACGCUGGCGGCGUGCCUAAUACAUGCAAGUUGAGCGCUGAAGGUUGGUACUUGUACCAACUGGAUGAGCAGCGAACGGGUGAGUAACGCGUGGGGAAUCUGCCUUUGAGCGGGGGACAACAUUUGGAAACGAAUGCUAAUACCGCAUAAAAACUUUAAACACAAGUUUUAAGUUUGAAAGAUGCAAUUGCAUCACUCAAAGAUGAUCCCGCGUUGUAUUAGCUAGUUGGUGAGGUAAAGGCUCACCAAGGCGAUGAUACAUAGCCGACCUGAGAGGGUGAUCGGCCACAUUGGGACUGAGACACGGCCCAAACUCCUACGGGAGGCAGCAGUAGGGAAUCUUAGGCAAUGGACGAAAGUCUGACCGAGCAACGCCGCGGGAGUGAAGAAGGUUGUCGGAUCGUAAAACUCUGUUGGUAGAGAAGAACGUUGGUGAGAGUGGAAAGCUCAUCAAGUGACGGUAACUACCCAGAAAGGGACGGCUAACUACGUG